AAUGGGCGCAGCCUGAUGCAGCGACGCCGCGUGCGGGAUGACGGCCUUCGGGUUGUAAACCGCUUUUGAUCGGGAGCAAGCCUUCGGGUGAGUGUACCUUUCGAAUAAGNACCGGCUAACUACGUGCCAGCAGCCGCGGUAAUACGUAGGGUGCAAGCGUUAUCCGGAUUUACUGGGUGUAAAGGGAGCGUAGACGGCGAGACAAGUCUGAAGUGAAAGCCCGGGGCUCAACCCCGGGACUGCUUUGGAAACUGCCUUGCUAGAGUGCUGGAGAGGUAAGUGGAAUUCCUAGUGUAGCGGUGAAAUGCGUAGAUAUUAGGAGGAACAUCAGUGGCGAAGGCGGCUUACUGGACUGAAACUGACACUGAGGCACGAAAGCGUGGGGAGCAAACAGGAUUAGAUACCCUGGUAGUCCAAGGGCGAAUUC
rnacentral:rRNA from 1 species